rnacentral:rRNA from 1 species
UACAGAGGUCCCAAGCGUUGUUCGGAUUCACUGGGCGUAAAGGGUGCGUAGGCGGUCGGGUAAGUCUGACGUGAAAUCUUCAAGCUCAACUUGGAAACUGCGUCCGAUACUAUUCGGCUAGAGGAAUGGAGGGGAGACUGGAAUACUUGGUGUAGCAGUGAAAUGCGUAGAUAUCAAGUGGAACACCAGUGGCGAAGGCGGCAUUCUGGACCGAAACUGACGCUGAGGCGCGAAAGCCAGGGGAGCAAACGGG